rnacentral:rRNA from 1 species
AUACGUAGGGGGCGAGCGUUGUCCGGAAUGAUUGGGCGUAAAGGGCGCGUAGGCGGCUUUGCAAGUCAGUAGUGGAAGUCCAUUUUUCAAGGAUGGAAGUGCUACAGAAACUGCGGAGCUUGAGUGCAGGAGAGGUUAUCGGAAUUCCCGGUGUAGCGGUGAAAUGCGUAGAGAUCGGGAGGAACACCAGUGGCGAAGGCGGGUAACUGGACUGCAACUGACGCUGAGGCGCGAAAGUGUGGGGAGCAAACAGGAUUAGAUACCCUGGUAGUCCACACUGUAAACGAUGAAUGCUAGGUGUAGGAGGUAUCGACCCCUUCUGUGCCGCAGUAAACACAGUAAGCAUUCCGCCUGGGGAGUACGGCCGCAAGGUUGAAACUCAAAGGAAUUGACGGGG